UUUUUUUUUUUCAUUUUUUUUUUUUAUUUUUUUUUUCGAGUACGGGUUUGUGUCGGUAAAUAAAAAAUCAAAUGUAUUCAAGUGGGGUUUUCUAGAAAGUAUCAAUAAGCUAGACCCAUGCUUCGAGUUGUUUCAUGCCAUAAAUAAACUCGAACACUCAAGAAAUCCGUUGGACAGGCGGAUUCACAUCUCUUACAACCGACACAGUCCUCUGUUCUUGGAGCAGAAGCAAUUUGCUUGGAUUUACAUCCAUCCCAAGGUAUCAUUUCUAAUACAUCUGUGGGGCAGGCUCGGACACAUUGAGUACACCCUAUACAUGUAUCAUAAAUCUUUACUGAAUGUGACAUUAGAUUUCUAAUUUUUUUAACGUCAUAAAGUUUCAAUCUAGUAAAUUUCUAAAUGAAUCAUCAUAUAUUUAGACACCAGACGAAUCAAUGAUUUACCAGAAAUUUUCUAUUCAAUUCUGGAUCGACUCAUGAGAAAAAACCAAGAUACUUUAAUUUUUUACGUUUUCGCAAACAUGAUCAGAUAAGUUACGUAUCUUAUAUGCCAACUUGAAUUAAUGAACAUGAAAAUUAUAUUCUAUAUGAUUAAUACUACUUAUUCAACAAAUUCGAUUGAUUGAUACGGGUUGAUUUUCUAUUACGAUAAAUUGAUGAAACAAUAGCUAGUCCAAUAGCUGCUUCAGCGGCUGCGAUAGCUAUAACAAAAAUGGAAAAAAUAUUUCCUUUUAAUUGGCGGCUAUCAAAAAAAUCAGAAAAUGUUACGAAAUUUAGAUUAACUGCAUUCAGUAUAAGUUCAAGGCACAUAAGGGCUCUAACCAUAUUUCGACUCGUGAUCAAUCCAUAGAUACCAAUAGAAAAUAAAUAGGCACUCAAAACAAGUACAUGUUCGAGCAUCAUUGACCAACUCCUUAUCAAUUUCGAUUUAUUUCAAUAUAAACAACAAUUCAACAUCAACAGAUUGGAUUGGCUAAAAUAAGAAUAUCCCAAAUACAAAUCAAAGAAAUAUUUGGAUAAUAGAUCAAAUAAAAGAAUUUAUACAUAAAAAAUCUUUAAAUAGAAUUGAAGGAAAAUAGAUGUGAUAACAUAGACCAAAGUUUAAUUUGGAUUGCGAUUACUAAUUCUAAAGAUUUUUUACUGACGAGCCACAGCAAUCGCACCUAUCAAAGCAACUAAAAGAAUUAUUGAAAUGAAUUCAAAUGGAAGAAAAAAAUCUGUUGAUAAAUGAAUUCCAAUUUGUUGACCAUUACUUAUCAAAUCUUGUUCUAUAAUCUGAUUUGUUCUUGUAGUCCAAAUAAUUCCAUACCAUGACGUAUCUAGAAGAAUAGUAAUUAGUGAAACAAAAAUACUUGUACAAACUAAAGAAGUAACCCCGCUUCCAACAGUCCAAAGAUUAAAAUCUUUGUAAUAUUCUGAACCAUUCAUGAACAUCACGGCAAAUAUAAUUAAAACAUUUAUAGCUCCCACAUAAAUAAGGAGCUGUGCGGCAGCUACAAAAUGAGAGUUUGAUAAAAUAUAGAAUAAAGAUAUACAAACAAGAACCAAUCCCAACGAAAAGGCAGAAUAAAUUGGGUUGGUAAGUAAUACCACUCCUAGACCUCCUAAUAUAAGACCUAAUCCUAGAAAGACUAAAAGAAAAUCAUGAAUUAGUCCAGGCAAAUCCAUUGCACGUAAAAUAAGAAAUAAAAAAAAAAAUUGAAUUGUUUUUUCAUGACCUUAUUGACCCGACCAGGAAAACUUUUUUAUAAUAAGUUCUUAAUUGAAUUAAACCCUAAGGAGUGUAAAUUAAUUACUAUAUGUACAGCUAUUCUACUAAUCUCAUCCUUUCUCAAAAAGGCAUUCUAAAUUUUUUUUUUCGAAAUAAUUAUGGAUAGAAUUAAAGAUAUAUUAAUAGAUUUUCAAUCCAAAUUAAGUCGCGACGCAAUUAUCAUCAAUCAAUCAAAUCAAUAGUUGGAAUUUGUAAUUUUUGUAGUUAUUGACCAAGAAAAAUAAAAGAAAACCCAUUUCAUCCUUUCAUCCUUUUAGAUCAAAACAGAAUUUGAGUUUAAUAAUUGUACUUUUUAAUCAAUCAAAGUGGUUUACCUAUUUUUUUUUGAGUUGAAUUCAAAAUUGUUCGAAUUGUAUAAUCGUCAACUACUGACAUUGGUAAACGACCUAAAGCAAUUUGAUUAUAAUUCAAUUCGUGACGAUCAUAAGUAGAAAGCUCAUAUUCUUCAGUCAUCGAUAAACAAUUUGUCGGACAAUACUCAACACAGUUGCCACAAAAUAUACAGAUUCCGAAAUCAAUACUGUAAUUAAGCAACCGUUUCUUUCGAAUGUCAGUUUCCAAUUUCCAAUCAACAACAGGUAGAUCUAUAGGACAUACACGAACACAUACUUCACAAGCAAUGCAUUUAUCAAAUUCAAAAUGAAUUCGACCGCGGAAACGCUCCGAUGUGAUUAAUUUUUCAUAAGGAUAUUGAAUAGUUACAGGUAAACGAUUUGCAUGAGAUAAGGUAAUCAUAAAACCUUGACCAAUGUACCUUGCAGCUCGUAUGGUUUGUUGCCCAUAAUUCAUGAACCCAGUUACCAUGGGAAACAUAUCGUAAAUAUUUAUGAAUAAUUUUAUGUUUGUUUUUUUCUCUUGUUUGAAGACAAGUUAGGAAUAUAGAAAAAUAUUCUUUUAUAGUGAAAGAAGUUGGAAAGAGGUUGUUAAUAAUAGAUUACCGAGAGAAAUAGGUAAAAGAAAUUUCCAUCCAAGAUUUAAAAGUUGGUCCAUUCUUAGUCUAGGUAAAGUCCAUCUUGUUGUGAUAGAAAUGAACAAGAACAAAUAAGUUUUAACCAAUGUAAUAAAGAUACCAAUUGUUGUUCCAAAGACUCCGCCUAUUUUUUUUAUUUCAAAAAGCUCAGGAACGAAUAUAUACGGAAUAGAGAUAUUCCAACCGCCCAAGUAAAGAACUGUUACAAAUAAUGAAGAAACUAAUAAGUUUAGAUAGGAAGCAAUAUAAAAUAAACCAAAUUUGAUGCCCGAAUAUUCGGUUUGAUAACCUGCUACUAAUUCUUCUUCUGCUUCUGGUAAAUCAAAAGGCAAUCUCUCACAUUCUGCUAGAGAAGAAAUAAAAAAAAUGAUAAAUCCUAUAGGUUGACGCCACAAAUUCCACCCCCAAAAACCAGAUUUUGAUUGUGCCUCAACUAUAUCAACUGUACUUGAACUAUUAGAUAAUCAUAGUCGGUGAUAACAUCACUGUUCCCAUCGCUAUUACAGAACCGUACAUGAAAUUCUCACCUCAUACGGCUCCUCGAAGGCCAUAAAUAAAUUUAAGGAUCAGAUCAGAUUAUUUAUUUUGAUAUAUUUGUAGAAUAGAUAGGAUCAAAAUAAAAUCUAUCGACGUUCCAAAAUUCGAGCAAUGAAAUUCUAUCUGUUAUAAUACUAAAAAAAUACUUCUGAAUUGAUCUCAUCCUUUAAUAAUUUAAAUUUUUCUUUCUUGAGUAAUAACUUAAAUCCUUCAAUAAAAUACUCUUUGUAAAAAGUAAAAUAUUCUUUGUAAAAAUACCAAUAGAUAUUUUCUAUCGUUUUCGAUUACGAAAAAGUUAGAUAUUCCGAAUUAUGACACGAAUUCCAUCUCUAUGAAUAUCGAUAAAAAAAGAACAAAAAGGAUUGAUUUUUUUUUUCUAUUGUAAUUAG
rnacentral:misc_RNA from 1 species